rnacentral:snRNA from 1 species
AUUUUGACAGCACAAAAUACUUAACUUAGAACAACCCAGAGAAGAUUACUAUGGCCUCUGUUCAAGGAUGACACUGAAUUUGUGAAAUGUUUCCUAAAUUA